rnacentral:sRNA from 1 species
ACUCAACACUAACAUUUUAAAAUGAGCGAAUCAUCACUACUAAAGCACGCCGCCAUUUGUCGCGGAUCCUUGAACAGUGAGUUAGCUCAAAACUUGUCUUUACGAGUUU